GAUGAACGCUGGCGGCGUGCCUAAUACAUGCAAGUCGAACGCUUCACUUCGGUGAAGAGUGGCGAACGGGUCAGUAAUACAUAAGUAACCUGGCAUCUACAGGGGGAUAACUGAUGGAAACGUCAGCUAAGACCGCAUAGGUGUAGAGAUCGCAUGAACUCUAUAUGAAAAGUGCUACGGGACUGGUAGAUGAUGGACUUAUGGCGCAUUAGCUGGUUGGUAGGGUAACGGCCUACCAAGGCGACGAUGCGUAGCCGACCUGAGAGGGUGACCGGCCACACUGGGACUGAGACACGGCCCAGACUCCUACGGGAGGCAGCAGUAGGGAAUUUCCGGCAAUGGGGGAAACCCUGACCGAGCGACGCCGCGUGAAGGAAGAAGUAAUUCGUUAUGUAAACUUCUGUCAUAGAGGAAGAACGGUGGAUAUAGGGAAUGAUAUCCAAGUGACGGUACUCUAUAAGAAAGCCACGGCUAACUACGUGCCAGCAGCCGCCGCGG
rnacentral:rRNA from 1 species